UACAGAGGGUGCGAGCGUUGUCCGGAAUCACUGGGCGUAAAGGGCGCGUAGGUGGCGGCCCAAGUCCAUGGUGAAAGCUCGUCGCUCAACGACGAGUCGGCCACGGAUACUGGGUUGCUCGAGCACUGUAGAGGCAGAUGGAAUUCCGGGUGUAGCGGUGGAAUGCGUAGAGAUCCGGAAGAACACCAGGGGCGAAGGCGGCCUGCUGGGCAGUUGCUGACACUGAAUCGCGACAGCGUGGGGAGCAAACAGG
rnacentral:rRNA from 1 species